AUGGUAAUGGUUUGCUUGUCACAUGAAGACUGGCUCAAAGAACUGGGAGUAUUUGGCCUGGAGAAGAGACCUGAGAUUGGAUCUGAGAACUUCAAGUACUUGAAGGCCUAUCCCCUGGCUGAGCUUUGUCUGUUGAGAGAUGCUCCCUUCUUCUCCCUUCCAACGAAAGGAAUCCGGUCCUUAGGAUGCAAUUAGCAACAGACAAAUCUGGAAAAUUGGAAUUAUAAUCAUCAAAUGACCUAUUUUCUAGGACCAUUAUGGAGAAAGAACUUUAUGAGCAGUACAAAAAGGCAGUACAAAAGCAGAUGCUGUUGUUGUUGGAUUUUCUUCAUGAUAUUGUAUGGCUUUCCAUCCUGAACACAUCCCUCCCCUGAGGAACAAAGAAAAUAAAGAUUGAGACCUUUCAGAGUCA
rnacentral:lncRNA from 1 species